rnacentral:rRNA from 1 species
CGUGAGGGAAAGUUGAAAAGAACUUUGAAGAGAGAGUUCAAAAGGGCGUGAAACCGCUUAGAAUAAAACGGACGGAGCCGUCGGUGGCCUUCCGGAAUCAGUCGUACGACGCGUGGCGGGUCGUUCGGUCGGAGCGAAAAGUCUGACCGGCGUCUCUUGGCGUUCGUUUGACGCAUUUCCGGAUGGUAUGCGCCACGACCGAUGCGAAAGGCUAGGGAAUCCGGUGAAUUGAGGUGGAAACCCUUCACUCUGGGUAUUCAUUACCAGUUCGCCGGCUUAAUCGCUAGACCGGGUGCAUCGAGCGCGGAAAAGAGGAACGUCGGCGAAAAUAGCGCUCGCCUAAGCGAUGGAUAGUCGUCGGAAUAAGCCGUACCUGCUCGCAGGUUAUGUUUAUCUCUGUUCGGCUUUUGAAGUCGCCGGCGAGUUCAGGGCGUUCAGGCGUCAGUGGCGUCCGAGACGGUCAACCGUCCGACCCGUCUUGAAACACGGACCAAGGAGUCUAACGUACGCGCGAGCUAAUGAGUGGAAAACUCAUAAGCGCAAUAAAAGUAAAAGGUACGAUUCCGGGGGUAUUUUAUACGAUACACCGGGCGCAGUACCGUCCCAUCCUGAUCGCUCGUCGAUAGGGUGGAGAUUGAGUGCAUACGUUGGGACCCGAAAGAUGGUGAACUAUGCCUGAGCAGAGCGAAGCCAGAGGAAACUCUGGUGGAGGUUCGUAGCGGUUCUGACGUGCAAAUCGAUCGUCAGACUUGGGUAUAGGGGCGAAAGACUAAUCGAACCAUCUAGUAGCUGGUUCCUUUC